CAGGCUCCCAUGAACUGACUGCCAUGGCUAAGCGUCUAGUAGAAUACUACCCAAUGCUGUGAGACAAGUCUACGUCCAAUACACCUGAAUGGGUAAGUCUCUCAUUUUGUUGAGGAAUUAUUUUUUUAAUCUGUUACCAAUGGUAAUAAUAGUUUGUUUUAAUUGUUUUGUUAUUUUAGGAAAUGGUGAAGAAGCAGUUGUUGAAAAGGGUUCAGAAUGUGACAACUCCAAAAAAGAAGCAAGGUCCAACCCCAUCAAGAAAAGGACCUAGAAGCCUAAAAUUCCAGAGCAGCCAGGCGACGUGCACUGAAGAGAGUGAUGAACCUUUCUCCUCCCCUGCUUCAGUCUCUUCAGCUGCUUCAUCAGUCGCCUCGUCGUCUUCCUCCACUGUGAUCCUAGAGAAGUCAACUCCUUCUACAAGUACUUCCCAAGAGAGAGCCCACAGAGCCAAGCGAGACACUAUAAAACUCUGCAGGAUUUGUACAAAACUAAGAACAAACCCAACAAGGAAGAUGUAUCCCAGCUGCUGGAAUUGGAGUUCCAAU
rnacentral:lncRNA from 1 species